rnacentral:rRNA from 1 species
GACGAACGCUGGCGGCGUGCCUAAUACAUGCAAGUCGAGCGGAGCGGCGGACGGGUGAGUAAUGCUUAGGAAUCUGCCUGGCAGUGGGGGACAACGUCCGGAAACGGGUGCUAAUACUGCAUACUAUCAGAUGAGCCUAGGUCGGGUUAGCUAGUUGGUGGGGUAAAGGCCUACCUAGGCGACGAUCCGUAACUGGUCUGAGCGGAUGAUCAGUCACGCUGGGACUGAGACACGGACCAGACUCCUACGGGAGGCAGCAGUGGAGAAUAUUGGGCAAUGGGCGAAAGCCUGAUCGAGCCAUGCCGCGUGUGUGAAGAAGGUUUUCGGAUUUGAAGGCACUUUAAAUAGGGAGGCGAUACCAACAGAAUAAGCACCAGCUAACUACGUGCCAGCAGCCGCGGUAAUAC